rnacentral:tRNA from 1 species
GGGCGAGUAGUCUAGUUCGGUUAUGAUGCCACCCUUACGAAGUGGAGGUCCCCGGUUCGAAUCCGGGCUCGCCCA